UACGUAGGGGGCGAGCGUUGUCCGGAUUUAUUGGGCGUAAAGAGCUCGUAGGCGGUUCGAUAAGUCGGAUGUGAAAUCUCCACGCUCAACGUGGAGGGGCCAUUCGAUACUGUCGUGACUCGAGUCCGGUAGGGGAGUGUGGAAUUCCCGGUGUAGCGGUGAAAUGCGCAGAGAUCGGGAGGAACACCCGUAGCGAAGGCGGCACUCUGGGCCGGUACUGGACGCUGAGGAGCGGAAAGCGUGGGGAGCAAACAGGG
rnacentral:rRNA from 1 species